rnacentral:rRNA from 1 species
AUACGAAAGGUGCAAGCGUUGUUCGGAUUUACAGGGCGUAAAGAGAUCGUAGGUGGUUUAUUAAGUCGGAUGUGAAAUCCCGGGGCUCAACCCCGGAACUGCAUUCGAUACUGGUAGACUAGAGUUUGGGAGGGGUAAGCGGAAUUCCGUGUGUAGCAGUGAAAUGCGUAGAUAUACGGAGGAACACCUGAGGCGAAGGCGGCUUACUGGACCAAUACUGACACUGAGGAUCGAAAGCGUGGGUAGCAAACAGGAUUAGAAACCCUAGUAGUCC